AUUAAUGAGCCCAGCGAAGGAGUUUUCAGGUAGGAACAAGAGGGGAGCCCAGUCAAGACCUGAAGCUAGCUGGUGGCUGCUCAGCGGUGGGAUGUUGGUGAGAUGCGCUCCACACGCAGGUGAGAUGGAAUGGAGAUGUGAUGGGAGAGAAAGGGCCACUGGCAUAGUGCGGACAGCAGGGAGGAGGCAGCAACAGGUCAUGGCGGUAGGUUCUACUCACUAAGAGCAGUUAUGUUAGCAGGCAGCUGGGCUCAUACAAUGCGUCUCCUUCUAACACUCUUCGGGAUGCUGGAGAACAGCACAAGCCAGCACGGAACGAUCACGGCUGGUGAUGGGCGCUUGGACACAGUAGGGCAGAGCUGAGGAUGGCCCAGAAACCAUCAGGCAUCUCCUAGGGGUAGCGAAACCUCCAGCCGAGCCGAGUCCAUUGUCACGCGGACGGGUUGCGAGGCGGCACAGAGCAAUCCGGCACCCCGCGAGGGACGCGGAAGGCGGAAG
ensembl:lncRNA